UGCCAAUCGUAUUCCUGAAUAGUAGAAGAAAAAAGGAAGGAAAAGGAGGCAAUAGAAACCGUCAAAUUCUCAAAUUAUGACGUGCAUACUAAAUAGGAGCCAACAACAAGAUAUCUAGGACAUAGUGAACAAAUAAAAGACAUACCAAACACAGAAGAGAAUAGGAAGGCUGAUACAAACCCGAGGGAAUCACCAAUAGCUUUUGUCUCUGGAGCUUGCAUCAGAAAGUAAGCCUACAUGGAAAAGAACCAAAAGCAGAAAUAAAAUCCAUCUCUGCAAAGCUAUAACAGCAACAACAUAUGCACUCAAAUAGACACAAGCAUACAUAAUCCCAUCAAGAGUGUCGCAACAACACCAAAAAGGUACUCAAUGCUGCAAGAUUUCUUGCCCAGUUAAAUUCAACGGACCAAUCACUGACCCCGUCAACUCCAGACACACUACUGAUUUGGAGAAAGUUUCCAACUUCUUUUGAUUAGCAUGCAAUCCCAUACAAGUUUAGACCAAUCUAAAACUUUUCCAUUCAUCUUCAUUAACAUCCCUCAAGAACAAUUGCAGAAAACUUCCCAUCUCAAGUUGAUUAAUAUUUGAUGAUUCCAUAUACAGUCCAUUAUGUUUCAACCAAGUUCUCAGAUUUGGCAGGAAGAGAGUUUGAAUUCAUAGUUACCUAGAACUUGGUACAUUGUGGGUUGUAGUAUGAUUACAGGGGACAGCACACACCACUUAGCAUCGUAGGUUUAACAUGAAGGGAAGGCUUAGUUGGUUCAGUAUCUGAAAUGGUGGUAUCUUUAGAGUGCUCAUUGGGGUCGCUUAUUGUUUUUUAUCCGUGAAAUCAAUAAGAUGCCCCUGGAAAGGCAAGUAAAACUAUAAAAGAAGCAUCCAUUCUUCUUUCCUUCAUCCAACACCUUUGGGCAUGUAUAACACCUAUAUUAUAAAUUGGGUGGUCAAUUUUGGCAGUGCAGUCCAUAAUUCAGAACAGAGACUAAGAUUUGCAGUUCCGAGUCAUCAAGGGUAUAACGAACAUACCUUGUCUCCACAUAGGAUCGAGAAUGGGGUCAGAAGGAUUAAAAACUGUUAAUUCAUAUAGAGCUAUCGAGCUGGCCCAACCCAGCAACCAAAGCUGUAUGCAUUCUAUGGACAGCCAGCAAACGACCGGUAUCAUUCAAUACGGCGGUAUGAACACGAUACCAAGGCAAACCCAUGGAAUACCCUCUUAUCAACGAAAGAUAGACACUAUGUAACUUUAUUGCACUGGAAAAAACUAUGUUAUGGACCUUCCUUUUUCAGUGGAUUAUCUCGGAAAUGUGGUCAGAAAUCCAUAAUAGAGUCCGACUACAACGACCGAAUUGAUUAUCUUCAUGCAUAAAGAUACUAGAUUACCUUGUAUAAAAGAUUUCAAAAUCAUCACAAACCUCCUUUUUUCUUUUCGAUUGCGAUUUCUGGAUUAUUAUAUGAUGAUUUUGAAUCUUUCCAUAUAUAUAGCAAUAGAAUAUAGAAAUAGAAACAAUAGACUAGAAACGACAUCUCUUAUGUCAAUGACACCAAAGAAAGGGGAUAUUAAAUGAAUGGAAUUGGGAUAUGGAUGGAAUAUAAUGAAA